rnacentral:lncRNA from 1 species
CCACGGGAUCCCAGGAUUAUUGGGCGUCCACGGCCUGAGGGUACUCAGAUUCCCGCAGUCGCUCUCCUGGGAAGUUACUUUAGUUUCUCGUGAUAGGGAAGAAAUUGAUUUAUAUUAAAAUCGUAGGUCGUGGGCAUCUUGCCUUCCAUCUGGGAAAGGACAUUAAGUACGUUCUCGAUGUAGAAUGACUUUCCUUUUGGCAGCUCCUCGCCCGCCUCCGACAAAGGCCCCCGCCUGAGGUUGCCGCCCUCGCUCCUGUCUCUUUAAAUGAUGAGGGGCCGAGGGGCCGCCCCUGCAACUGCUGGCUGGGUGGCCCCGCGCCCCCCUUCUGAGGGGUGAGCCAAGAUGGCGGCCGCUUGGGCUCCGAGAGGAAGGCGGGCGAGGUGGCGGCAGCGGCUGAGGGAGAGCGACUUCCAGCAGCCAAGGGAACUUCGGUCGUCAAGGGCGUUCCUAAUCUCCCAGGCAGUGGUAGACGUUGGAGCUGGAGCAGGCACCCGCCGGCUUUGGACACUUGAAGAAGAGAGGGAGCAGAGCGGAGACACUGGCCGUGGUGGCAGGGCCAGGGAUCACAGAUUUCUACAAGAUGCCAGAACACUAGAAGAUGAAGAAAAGAUGUGACUUAACACAGAUGAGGAUGACAUGGAAGAUGGGGAGCCUGUAGUAUCUGCAUCUGUCAAGACCAAAAAUGAUGAUGAUAUUAUGGAUCCAACAAAUAAAUUCAUGGAAAGGAAGAAAUUGAAAGAAAGUGAGGAGAGGAGGUACUUUUGAAAACAAAUCUUUUUGGACAGCAGAGUUCAAGUUUCAAGCUUUUCUUGUCCAGUGGAACAAAGACUAACCUCACCAGCCAGUCACCUGCAGCAAACCUGCCUGGUUCUCCGGGUCCCCCAGAUCUCCAAGCUCUCCUGCAUCCAUCCCUAAGAGCACAUCUCAGAUGGCAGCUAUUACUACAAAAGGAGGCCUUGUGGGUCUGGUAGAUUAUCCUCAUGAUGAUGAAGAUGAAGACAAAGAGAUGCCACCAUUGUCAAAGCAAAAUUGGAGUUAUAAAAAUGGCAACUGCCUAUGAUCAGUACCUGUUGACAAAACUGGUUCUCCACUCCUCCCCCCUACAAAGUCCACAACAGAGCACAAUGGUCUCUUUUGAAGAACUGACAUACUCAGCCUUGCACACUUGGCUUCUGCUCAUCAAGUGCCAAUUCAGCGGACCAGGAGGAAGGGACACCAUGUGUUUAGGGGAAGGACUUAAGCCUUUGAGCUCUCCAGCCUGGACCACACAUUGCCCUUUUCUCAGGGAAGGAAAUGGAAACAAAAAGCCAACAGGGCAGAGAUUUUGUAAGUGGAACUCUGGAUUGACUGGUCAGUUGCUGCAAUCAGAACAUGCUUUCUUGGACCAUGUUUGAGACUCAGAAGAAUGGGCCUCUCUGCCCCAGUUCUUCACUAGUUAAGAAUGCCAGCAGUUUCUUUGCAUAAAGAGACCUGCUUUUAAAAUCAUACAUUGUGAACAUUUUAGUCAAGGACAGCAGAUUUGGAAAACCUCUGUGGGGGAGAGGCAAAUAUAAAGUUUCCUCUUUUUUAAUCUGUUCCCUAUGCCCUUCAAACUGCAGAUUUUUUAAAGUGAGCACUUGUCCCUAC